rnacentral:lncRNA from 10 species
AGUGCUUUAACAGAAUAUAGUAUGCCUUCUGUUUCAGCUGUAAUCAUUAUUUUUGACAUUAUUAAAGUAAGAGUAAUUCUGUAGACUCCAUUUCCCUAAAAAUAUCAGUUGCUUGAAGAUUGAUUGAGAGGAAAAAGCAGAAUAAGAGAAGCACUCUUGACCUUGGGUUAAAAGUAGAAAAGAAAAUUUGAGACCAAAAAUGCAAGACACAGUAAAAAAAAAUAGAUACAGUAGUCCCUGCUUAUCCAUGGGAGAGACAUUCCAAGACCUUCAGUGAAUGCCUGAAACCACAGAUAGUACUGAACCUUAUAUAUUUUUUCCUAUACAUACAUACCUAUUAUAAAGCUUAAUUUAUAAAUUAGACACAGUAAGAGAUUAGCAAGAAUUCUAAUAAAAUCGACCAAUUGUAACAAAAUACUGUCAUAAAAGUUAUGUGAAAACUUGUUCUCAUAAAAGUGUGUUCUCUCUCUUAUGCCCUAGUGCCUCCUUUGCACUUUUUUUUUUUGAGAUAGAGUCUCGCUCUGUCGGCCAGGCUGGAGUGCAAUGGUGUGAUCUCAGCUCACUGCAGUCUCCGCCUUCUGGGUUCAAGUGAUUCUCCUGCCUCAGCCUCCUGAGUAGCUGGGAUUACAGGUGCGCGCCACCAAGCCUGGCUAAUUUUUGUAUUUUUAGUAGAGAUGGGGUUUCACCAUGUUGGUCAGGCUGAUGUCAAACUCCUGACCUCGUGAUCUGCCUGGCUCAGCCUCCCAAUGUGCCUGGCUCACGCAGAGGUGUGAGCCACUGCGCCCAGCCUCCUUUGCACUUUUAUGAAUGUAGGUUCUGUGAGUCAUCUUUGAGAACAGCCUAGUUUCGCUGCAAUUGAAGUCUUGCUUUGGAUGGUAUCUUUUCUCCUUAGCUUCUUCAUCUCUGCUGGAAAUGUGACAGCAGCUGCUUCAUCAGCAGACACAGCUUCUCCAAUAAUUUUAAUAUUUUUCAGUCUAACCCUAUUAUUGAAUCUGUGUAAUCAUCCCUUAUUUGCAGUAAAUGACUUGGUGUCACUUGUUUCAGGGGAUCUUUGCUGAAGUCUUAAUAUAUACUCAAUAUUUUCUGGUGCAACACAUUGCAGUCAGUUGGAACAUGUUUUCUGUUAAUGCCUUCCACCUACAAAUUUAAUGCCUUUUCUAUUUUAACUAAGCACUUACGCAUUGUGGUUGUAACUUUUGUAGUUUGAGGUACAACUGCCAUACUUGCAUGAAUUUAUUUUUCUUCACAAUUUCAUGGAUAGAUUUAUUCUUUAUUGUAGAUCUUAGCAACCUCAGCAUGCAGUUUUUUUUCUUUCCUCAUUAAGUCAAGAACCUUCACCUUUUCACUUAAAGGAAGCAUGCUAUGUCUUCUCUUUGACAUAUCCAAAUUGGAUCUGCAUCCAGAUAGCAUCACUACUCUUUUGCUUUGGGGCCAUUAUUAAGUAAAAUAAGAGUUCCUUGAACACAAGCACUGUGAUACCAUGGCAGUUGAUCUGAUAACCAAGAUGGCUACUAAGUGACUAACGAGCAGGUAGCUUAUACAGCAUGGAAAAUGGAUCAUUCUUGUCCAGAGCUGGACAUAGUGGGACGUCAUGAGAUUUCAUCACGCUGCUCAGAACUGCAAUUCAAAACGUAUGAAUUGUUUAUUCGUGGAAUUUUCCAUUUAGUAUUUUCAGACCAGGGUUGACUGCAGGUAACUGAACUGUGGAAAGUGAAACCACGAAUACCACAGGGCUGCUGUAAUUUAGAUGAGCUUAACAGAAGAAUGGAGCA